UGUCCUGAUGAUCGCAUCAAAAUUGUGGUC
rnacentral:piRNA from 1 species